CAGUAGCCGCGGGAAUACGAGGGGGGCAAGCGUUGUUCGGAAUUAUUGGGCGUAAAGGGUGCGUAGGCGGUUUGACAAGUCUUAUGUGAAAUCCCCGGGCUUAACCUGGGAACUGCAUUUGAAACUGGCAGGCUAGAGUCUUGUAGAGGGGGGUAGAAUUCCAGGUGUAGCGGUGAAAUGCGUAGAGAUCUGGAGGGAUACCGGUGGCGAAGGCGGCCCCCUGGACAAAGACUGACGCUCAGGUGCGAAAGCGUGGGGAGCAAACAGGAUUAGAUACCCCAGUAGUCCCUGUCUCUUAUAC
rnacentral:rRNA from 1 species